CAAUAGCGUAUAUUAAAGUUGUUGCAGUUAAAAAGCUCGUAGUUGGACUUCUGCGGGUGGCGGCCGGUCGUGCUCGAAACGGGCGUGAACUUGGCGUGCUGCCCGCAUCUUUGGGGAGAUUGUGCGUGGCAUUAAGUUGUCGUGCAUGGGAUUCUCAUCAUUUACUGUGAAAAAAUUAGAGUGUUUAAAGCAGGCCUUUGCCUUGAAUACAUUAGCAUGGAAUAAUAAGAUAGGACCGUUGUCUAUUUUGUUGGUUUACAGAUGUCGGUAAUGAUUAAUAGGGAUAGUUGGGGGUAUUCGUAUUCAGUUGUCAGAGGUGAAAUUCUUGGAUUUUCGGAAGACGCACGACUGCGAAAGCAUUUACCAAGGAUGCUUUCAUUA
rnacentral:rRNA from 1 species